rnacentral:tRNA from 1 species
GGAGCGGUAGUUCAGUCUGGUUAGAAUGCCUGCCUGUCACGCAGGAGGUCGCGGGUUCGAUCCCCGUCCGUUCCGCCA